UGAAUUUCCUUGUGCUCAGAAUGGGCAGAUUUUUCCAGUUACACAGAAAUGUAUAUAUGACGUUGAUACUGCAGGAUUUCCUUCAGGGUGCCGAGAUGGAAGUCAUUUGGCUAAUUGUGAACAAUUCAAUUGUCCGAAAGACACUGUAAAUGUCCAGGUAGUUUCUGUUUACCUGUACGUUAUGUGUGCGAUGGAGAAAUAAAUUGUGAAGGAGGACACGAUGAAGAAAACUGCGGCUGUGAGUCGUCAGAAAAUGAGAUACUUAUCCUUUACGAAAAAGGAACAGCAGAGGAGUUAUUCAUUCGUCAAUUUUCAAGACAAUUUUAUACAAAAACUAAUAUUGUCCGAGUAUUAAGUUUCAAUGCAUCAAAACCAUUGAAGUCGUUUGAUAUGGACAGUACACAGAUAAAUGUUACAGACAGACAGAUAGAUCAAAGUGGUGAUACAACACGGUUACCGACAUGCAGUUACAAGGUUAUGUCUAGAGACUUUGUGAAGUCUGUCAAAUUUUCAAAUAAUGGAAGCACGAGGAUUGAUAUACAUACAAAACAGUUAAGCUCUAAAGAAGUUGCUGAUGAGAUGUUUUCAAAUAUACAUUGGAUUAAUUGGAGAUUAUAAGCUUUAUCUUGUAACACAAGACUUUAAUACUGACUAUAAUAAUCAAAGCUUUGUUCCAAAAGUUAUUCCAGUACGUGUCAGAAGAUGGAAAAUAUUAACUGCUACUGGAGCAGAAUAUUUCAGUGCUUUGUGUAAAGUUAAUUCAAAAGUACACUGCCAAGGUCAAUACAAGUGUGCCUCAAGUAAAAUGUGUAUACCACUGGACCAGGUGUGUGAUGGCUACAGACACUGCUUACAUGGUGACGACGAAUUAGUAUGUGAUUUUGAAUGCCCUUACGGGUGUUUCUGCAAUGGAUUAGCUGCAAAUUGCAGAGCCAGAAACAUGUCGCAUGUUUAUGACAUCCCAAAAACUACCAGAGAAUUGGAUCUAAGUUUAAAUAAAAGACUGGACAGUGUUUUACAAAUGCCAGUGCUAGAUCUUAUAGUUUUAUCAAUUUUGAAUUUGUCAGGUUGUGAUAUAGACGUCAUAACUCGCAAUGCUUUCAACAGAUUAAGGAACCUUCAGUUACUGGAUAUAAGUUACAACCUAAUAAGAUCAUUACCAAAUCGAGUUUUCAGCAGUUUGAAGCAGCUUAAAACAUUGCAUAUUCAUGGUAAUUAUUACAUGUCUAAAAUAGACCCAAAGGCUUUUCAAAAUCUUUUUCUUAUUCGUGAUUUGAAUCUGGCAAAUUCUCUCCUGAGAAAGAUUUCAGCUAAUACCUUUGCUGGUUUGAAAUUGAAAAGUUUAGAUCUGUCUAAUAAUAAACUAGAGGAUAUUGAACCAUUUGCAUUCAAUGAAUUAUCAGCAAACAUAAUAAACUUUGAAGGAAAUACAAUAAAAUCAUUGAACAAAGACAUCUUUACUGGAGUGAUCGAUUUGCAAUUACUUAGAACACCAUCUUUCAAGUUCUGUUGUAUUCGGCCAAACUAUGUUGAUGAACAUAAUUGUAUUCCAACACGAGAUGAAUUUUCGUCAUGUGAAGACCUCAUGCGACAUUCAGUGCUGCAGUUUCUUUUAUGGUUAGUUGGCAUGUUGGCUUUGCUCGGAAAUUGCCUUUCUUUGAUUUAUAGACUGAAGGUGGAUCAGGAAACGACUACAGCUUGGUUUUGGUAUAUUUGUAACGAAUCUGGCUGCAGCUGAUCUUCUUAUGGGGGUCUAUCUGAUGAUAAUAGCGAUAGCCGAUGCUGUUUUCAGGAAAAGGUACAUUUACGAAGAUGAGAAAUGGCGAGGAAGUUUUUUAUGCAAUCUUGCUGGUGUUUUGUCCACUAUAUCUUCAGAAUGUAGUGUGUUCUUUCUGUGCCUGAUAACAUUAGACAGGUUACUUGUUAUAAAAUUUCCGUUCCGCCCUAAAUAUUUUACAAAGAAGAAGUCCAUUCUCUGCGUAUUACUGGCUUGGGUAACCUCAAGUUUCAUUGCAGUAUUACCAGUGGUGUAUGAAAGCUACUUCCAAAACAAGUUUUACUCCAGGAUCUGGUGUAUGCAUUGCUUUGCCGUUGACAAGGGAUCGACCGCCUGGCUGGGUGUACUCUAUUUUGGUUUUUGUACUAUUUAACUUCAUCACCUUUCUCCUAGUGGCAGUUGGUCAGUGGACAAUCUUUUACGAAAUGCGAAAGUCACGUGGAAUGGCUACGACCGCAAAAUCGUCACGAGUGAAAGACCUGAAAGUUGCCAGAAAUCUUUUACUUGUGGUAGCAACAGAUUUCAUGUGUUGGUUUCCAAUAGGAGUGAUGGGUGUUACAGCGCUUUCAGGCCAUGUCAUAUCGGGAGAUGUGUACGCAUGGGCGGCUGUGUUUAUCUUGCCGGUAAACUCGGCCCUUAACCCGAUACUUUACACACUGACAGCGAUCAUUGGAGGAAAG
rnacentral:misc_RNA from 1 species